AUUGAACGCUGGCGGCAGGCCUAACACAUGCAAGUCGAACGAGUGGCGGACGGGUGAGUAAUGUUUGGGAAACUGCCUGAUGGAGGGGGAUAACUACUGGAAACGGUAGCUAAUACCGCAUACCAUCAGAUGUGCCCAGGUGGGAUUGGCUUGUUGGUGGGGUAACGGCUCACCAAGGCGACGAUCCCUAGCUGGUCUGAGAGGAUGACCAGCCGCACUGGAACUGAGCCACGGUCCAGACUCCUAGGGGAGGCAGCAGUGGGGAAGAGUGCACAAUGGGCGAAAGCCUGAUUGAGCCAUGCCGCGUGUAUGAAGAGGGCCUUCGGGUUGUAAAGUACUUACAGCGGGGAGGCGUUACCCGCAGAAGAAGCACCGGCUAACUCCGUGCCAGCAGCCGCGGUAAUAC
rnacentral:rRNA from 1 species